rnacentral:rRNA from 1 species
AAACUCAAAUGAAUUGACGGGGGCCCGCACAAGCGGUGGAGCAUGUGGUUUAAUUCGAUGCAACGCGAAGAACCUUACCUGGCCUUGACAUACAGAGAACUUUCCAGAGAUGGAUUGGUGCCUUCGGGAACUCUGAUACAGGUGCUGCAUGGCUGUCGUCAGCUCGUGUCGUGAGAUGUUGGGUUAAGUCCCGCAACGAGCGCAACCCUUUUCCUUAUUUGCCAGCACUUCGGGUGGGAACUUUAAGGAUACUGCCAGUGACAAACUGGAGGAAGGCGGGGACGACGUCAAGUCAUCAUGGCCCUUACGGCCAGGGCUACACACGUGCUACAAUGGUCGGUACAAAGGGUUGCUACUGCGCGAGCAGAUGCUAAUCUCAAAAAGCCGAUCGUAGUCCGGAUCGCAGUCUGCAACUCGACUGCGUGAAGUCGGAAUCGCUAGUAAUCGCGGAUCAGAAUGCCGCGGUGAAUACGUUCCCGGGCCUUGUACACACCGCCCGU